rnacentral:rRNA from 1 species
CCCGCUGAACUUAAGCAUAUCAAUAAGCGGAGGAAAAGAAACUAACAAGGAUUCCCCUAGUAACUGCGAGUGAAGCGGGAAAAGCUCAAAUUUAAAAUCUGGUGGCCUUUGGCCAUCCGAGUUGUAAUUUAGAGAAGCGUCUUCCGCGCUGGACCGUGCACAAGUCUCCUGGAAUGGAGCGUCGUAGAGGGUGAGAAUCCCGUCUUUGGCACGGACGCCCAGUGCUUCUGUGAUGCGCUCUCGAAGAGUCGAGUUGUUUGGGAAUGCAGCUCAAAAUGGGUGGUGAACUCCAUCUAAAGCUAAAUAUUGGCGAGAGACCGAUAGCGAACAAGUACCGUGAGGGAAAGAUGAAAAGCACUUUGGAAAGAGAGUUAAACAGUAUGUGAAAUUGCUGAAAGGGAAACGCUUGAUGUCAGUCACGUUGGCUAGGGAUCAACCUUGCUUCUCGCUGGGUGUAUUUCCUAGUGGACGGGUCAGCAUCAGUUUCGGUCGCUGUACAAGGGCAAAGGGAACGAGGCACUCCUUGGAGUGUGUUAUAGCCUUUCGUCGUAUGCAGUGGUUGGGACUGAGGAACUCGGCACGAAAUCUAUUUUGUGCUUAGGAUGCUGGCAUAAUGGCCUUAAGCGACCCGUCUUGAAACACGG